rnacentral:lncRNA from 1 species
UCAGUAUGUUUUCCUCUGUGAAUAUCAAUAAUAUGAGAGUGUAUGAAUGCCUUAAUGUUCGAUCCCCUUACAAAAAUAGUGGCUAUCCCUCUUAUAGUGGAGGAAUCCUACUUUAGAUAUAAUUAAAAAUACAUAGUGGGGAUCCCAUGAUAAAUUAAUUUUUCCCUAAUUUCCGCCGAGAUUCUCUCCCUUAAUGCGGCUGUAACGGCUCUUGUUCUCUUGGCUCAAUCUUGGUCGGAUUUGGUAUCGGUCGAUUUCUAGAUUUAGAGCUCGAUAUUAACUCGAGCUCGAUAUUGACUCGAGCUCGAUAUUGACUCGGGGCUCGGUAUCGAAUCGGGCUUGAUAUUGGUCGGUCUCUGGCUCUUAAGCUUGAUGACACUGCUUCACUUCAUAGUUCGAUUUGGACUCAAGCUCAGUAAUGUCUUCGAGCUCGGUAUUUGAUCGGUCCCAGAAAUUUGAGCUUGGUAACCUGGAUUCAGAUCUCAUCUCGAUAUUAUGAAAAUGACCUUCGGUCCAUUAUGUUCCAAUCUUGACUAAUCAUACGAAGGUCGAAACCAGUUUUGACCGUAUACAAUUAUAUACUCUGCAAAUAAUAAAACCAAUAACCGAUGAAAUUAACAAUCUUUCCAAACCUUAGAUCAAUCAUAACUUAGGAUUAAUAAACCAAGCAACACAAUAAAAUAGUACGUAAAUAUUUAAACGUUCGUAAAUUCACAAGCUCGCAUUUCAGUAAAGUGAUUCUCCAUACCAACCACAAUAUGCACUAUAUAAUAAGUAUAUUCUAUAAGUUUUGACAUUAUGUGUAUAGUUUGACAAAUUUCAAUCACAAUAAGCUGAAAGAAGUUAUAAUGAUUUUUUUUUAAAACUUAAUAAUAAGGAGAAAGAAUGUGUGAAAACAAUUAACAUCUAAUUUAACAGAAAGGUCAAAUGAUAACAUGUAAAAAUUUGUAGAGUAUUCAUGUCUAAAUGAGUGAAAACAAUGAUCAUAGCUCGAUUAAUCAAUUUAUUUUGCAUAGUAGUAACUGGUUGAAGCUGCUUCCAGUACAAUAUAUAUGAUUUAGUUUACAAGAUAGCAGCUUAUUGAUUUUGACUCAAUUACAUCUUUAUCCUAUGAUACAAGAUUAGACAAGUUUACCGACAAAACCUACAAAGUUUCCCUAUUACUCACACCAUUCUAUGUAAAUAGCCUUCCUUGAGUACGUCGAAACUUAAAUAAGAACAAGGUCCUUAAAGCCAAAAGGAGAGCAAAAUAUCAAAAAGAGGGGCUAAAACUUGCUUCUAUACAACAUGGAAUUCCUUCAUCAAUCAAGAAUGUCCCUCCUUUGUAAAUGGCUCAUAACUAGUUCCAGAUACAUGUCUUUUACGGUUGAUAGAAAACAAUCCUGCAAUUUAUAUGCGUAAAAGAAAAGGUUAAAAUCACGCAAAGGCAAAACGAUUGUACUCGCUUAAUGCUCAAGAAAGAAGGUCACUGUCCUUUGAAAUGAGGUGAAAUGAUCUGAAUUCUGCUUUUAGUGUGCAGUAUGGUAUUGCCAAGCCUUUAAGUUCAUAUAACUUGUUAUAUGAAUCAUAAAUUAGGCUGUUGAAAGUUUUGAUGUUAAAACAUAGCAAUGCCAAUAAUAUAUAGUCAAAGUUAUGAAAAAGUUCGCGCGGGGGGGGGGGGGGGGGGGG